rnacentral:rRNA from 1 species
CCUACGGGGGGCUGCAGUGAGGAAUAUUGGGCAAUGAGCGAAAGCUUGACCCAGCGACGCCGCGUGUAGGAGGAAGUCCUUCGGGAUGUAAACUACUGUCAGGGGGAAGAAAGUCCGUUUCGGCGGAUUGAUCUAACCCAGAGGAAGUCACGGCUAACUUCGUGCCAGCAGCCGCGGUAAGACGAAGGUGGCAAGCGUUGUUCGGAAUCACUGGGCUUAAAGCGUGUGUAGGCGGAAGCGUAAGCGUCUUGUGAAAUCCCUCGGCUUAACCGAGGAAUUGCUUGAUGAACUGCGCUUCUUGAGGCAGGUAGGGGUGCGAGGAACUCUUGGUGGAGCGGUGGAAUGCGUAGAUAUCAAGAGGAACGCCGGUGGAGAAGUCGUCGCACUGGGCCUGUCCUGACGCUGAGACACGAAAGCGUGGGGAGCGAACGGGCUUAGAUACCCUAGUAGUC